rnacentral:lncRNA from 1 species
AUGGGACCCUGGAGUGCUCCUAUUACCCUACGCUGGCUCAGCAGUGAGUGCUUAAAAGAAACAAGAACAACCCAGUGGCAGCAGUCCAGUAGUCCUCUUGUUCUAAUUUCCUUGUCUUCAAGAGAGGAGCUGUGGUCUACGGUUCUGGAGGAUCUGAUUUGGUUCAAGGAAUCCUGCGGAUCUGGACAUAGGGAAUGGAGCCAGAGUGAACUAGUGGCAGUCACUGCAGUUAUUGUCAGGAUCAAGAAGAUGAAUUAUAGUUACCCAAUGGUAAUACCAAGCUGAAUUGAACCAAGGGUAGUCUAAAGUGUAGCUUUUUACGCAGAGGGACAAUACAAACCUGAACACCACACACCAGAAAGCAGUGUCGGAGUUCAUGUCGCUGAUAUUACUUGCAUUAAAACACACUGGAGCAGAGCUGUAUGAUACAUAUGUUGCUGGACUGAAACAGAUGUGAAAAAAGAGCCAACCUGAGAUAACUCUGUGGGCCUGUGGGUGCAAUUCUUUAGUAACUAAAUUGUAGCUCAGUAAAGCAGAUAGCAUUAGGAAUGCCGUUAUGGCCAUACUUCUGUUAUACAGUAGAUUUUGCUCCUUUUAUUGACUGUAUGGCUCAUAAAUUUGUACAUUUAAUAGAAAUAUGAUUUUGUACCUUCUUUCCUCACUCCUCUUUUCCCCAAGUACUUCCAGCUCUCAGUUUUCUGAAGGCUGGAUAAGACAGAAAUGUAGUAAAUAUGAAUAACAGACAAUAUAACUUAGAAAACUGUAAUGCAAGAUAUGAUUGGGAAAAGGAGGAAACUUAAUUGGCCAUGUAGUGCAAAGAUCCUUCAGCUGACUCAAGCUGGUAGGCUUUAAAAGUGCUGGAGAGACUACGUUGCUUUUAGACUGAGGCUGGCCCACUCAAGACACUUCAGAUGACUCUGCAUCCAACAGCAGUGGUUGACCCCCAACCUAGAUGAAGUCACCAGAGGCAUUCUUAACAGCUGGAUCCCUGUUCCCAAAGAUUUUCAGUGCCUGUGACUAAGGAGGAGCAGAGAGAUGAUUUAAUUUCUCAGUCCAGUAGCAUGAUUCUCUGUGGGGACUCCAGUAAUUUUUCUUUUAGGAGAGAUGCCUUAGCAGACUGCACCUCAUCUUUAUUGUUCCAAUGCUUGUAUUAACUAUGUUUAUAUAUUGCAUCAUUAACUCACCUAAGUAUCUUUGGAUUUUUAAUUGCCUUUGUGCUACAGGGAUAGAUGAAUGAAUUUCUGGGAAAAGUUCUGUAAUCUGUCCUGCACAAGGAUUACAGCAAUACAAUCUUUGACAUAAUCAUUUCAUCACUGGCCUUCUCUGAGUUUCUGAUGUAUCUUAUGUUUCUUCCCCUUAUGUCUUAUGUUUCUUCCCCUUAUGCCUUUUGUUAACAGUACACAGAGCAGAUUGCUGUGUAGGACAUGACACAGUAGUGUUGCAGAGAACAUGAAAUCCCCACAAGACUGGGUUAGGAUAGACCUUCUGAAGUGUUGUGUGACCGUAGCACCUAUAUGACCAAAGGGUAGCUGCAGGAAGAGUGUUAUUGCAGCAACAUGGGGAUUUGGGACUGCUCAGACCUGUAAAAGCAGUCUCUAGGCAGUGCUCAGAAGGCUGUUGUAAACAAUAAUGCUUCCUAGCUGCCUGUCAGUGUAACAAGGUGCUGAAGAGCGACCUGUGCUUUUGUGCCUAAAUAAAGCAGAUACACAAGGGAAAGUGAAAAAUCCA